rnacentral:rRNA from 1 species
GACGAACCGUGCGAACGUUAUUCGGAAUCACUGGGCUUAAAGCGCGUGUAGGCGGGAGGGCACGUCCGACGUUGAAAGCCCCCGGCUCAACCGGGGAACGGGCGCGGAUACGACCUUCCUGGAGGGACGUAGGGGGACCUGGAACUUCCGGUGGAGCGGUGAAAUGCGUUGAGAUCGGAAGGAACGCCCGUGGCGAAAGCGAGGUCCUGGACGUUUUUCUGACGCUGAGACGCGAAAGCCAGGGGAGCGAACGGG